AUACUUACCUGGACGGGAUCAAUGGGUGAUCAAGAAGGCCCAUGGUCUAGGAUAGUGACUUCCAUUGCACUUGGGAAGGGUGCUAUUCUAAGGUAUGUCCAAGUGGCAGAACCUACAUCAUAAUUUGUGGCAGAGGGGGUCUGCGUUCGCGCGACCCCAAC